rnacentral:rRNA from 1 species
GACGAACGCUGGCGGCGUGCUUAACACAUGCAAGUCGAACGAUCAAGCGUGGUGCUUGCACCGGGUGGAUGAGCGGCGGACGGGUGAGUAAUACGUGAGUAACCUGCCUUUGACUCUGGGAUAACUUCGGGAAACUGGGUCUAAUACUGGAUAUGAUAUUCAACUGCAUGGUGCUGUGUGGAAAGGGUUUUACUGGUUUUGGAUGGGCUGACGGCGUAUCGCCUUGUUGGUGGGGUAAUGGCCUACCAUGGCGAGGAGGGGUAGCCGACCUGAGAGGUUGACCGGCCACACUGGUACUGCGAGACGGCCCAGACUCCUACGGGAGGCAGCGGUGGGGAGUAUUGCACAAUGGGCGGAAGCCUGUUGCAGCGACGCCGCGUGAGGGAUAACGGCCUUCGGGGUGUAAACCUCUUUCAGCGCGGAAGAAGCGAGAGUGACGGUACGUGCAGAAGAAGCGCCGGCUAACUACGUG